rnacentral:lncRNA from 1 species
GACUCUACAAAAAGGCACCAAGAAUAAUGGCAAGUCGAGCAACAAGGUUACUUCAAAGCCCAUGUGCUCAGGUGGUUUGGCGAGAGGCAUUACAGCUAUC